rnacentral:rRNA from 1 species
CCUACGGGUGGCAGCAGUGAGGAAUAUUGGUCAAUGGACGCAAGUCUGAACCAGCCAAGCCGCGUGCAGGAAGACGGCUCUAUGAGUUGUAAACCGCUUUUGUACGAGGAUAAACGCAUAUACGCGUAUCUGUCUGAAAGUAUCGUACGAAUAAGGAUCGGCUAAUUCCGUGCCAGCAGCCGCGGUAAUACGGAGAAUUCAAGCGUUAUCCGGAAUUAGUGGGUUUAAAGGGUGGGUAGGCGGUCGGGUAAGUUAGCGGUGAAAUCCCGAGGCUCAACAUCGGAACAGCAUGUGAAACUGUUCGACUAGAGAGUAGUAGAGGUAGGCGGAAUGCAUGGUGUAGCGGUGAAAUGCAUAGAGAUCAUGCAGAACCCCGAUUGCGAAGGCAGCUUACCAAGCUACUACUGACGUUGAGGCACGAAGGCGUGGGGAGCAAACAGGAUUAGAUACCCCUGUAGUC